GCAGGUGGCAUUGCAACAAACACUUUCUGAAAAUCUCUAGGAAUAUGGAAUCUGCUUUUUGCCCUUCAUUCACAGUUUGCACGAUAACCUGUGAGAAUAGGGUAAGCACAAAUUUUGCACAACCAAUGUUUUCUAAAUCCAUGCUGAUUUGUGGACACAAGCUUUAUUGUCUCAAGGAAAUUUAUUAUAUUCAAUCUUUGGACAUACCCAAGAACUCUGCAGCAAACUGAGGUUAUAGAUAUUGGCCUGUAAUUUUGCGGGUACAUUCUUUUGCCCUUCUUUUAAAAAAGAUUCACUUGCGCUUUCUUCCAUUCACUUGGGACUUUGAGCUGGGCAAGAAAUUUGUGAUAAAUGUUGGCAAGUAAUGGGUCAAUGCCACAGAGAUCUCUCUGUAAAACAUGUUGGGAAUCUAUCCCGACCUAAUAACUUUUCAACUCUUUCAUUUGCUUCUCAAUUUCAGGGUUUCCUAUUUAUAUAUCCUCCAUACAGAAUUCUGAGCAACGAUCAAAUGAUGGUAUGUCUGUAUGAUCCUCACAUGUGAGUGGUUUUUAAACAUGGAGUUUAAAAACUGAGCUUUCCUUUUGCUGCCUUCUGUUGCCACACCAGACUGGUCAAGAAAUGACUUAAUAGGAGGCUUCUACUCACCUAAUGAUUUUUUCGGCGUCUUCACAAGAUCUUUCAAGAACAAUGAAGCAAGUCCCACUGAUGACACAGAUGAAGAUGAAGAUAGUGGCCCUACAAAAUCUACAACUCCAGCCACAGAAAAGAAGAUCAUCAAAGUAAAACCACCCAUUAGCUUGAAGUGAAUUCCAAUAAUAAUGAGAAACCUUCAUCAUCAACAUAAGAUUUAGAGAUGUUGGAGACUCAACUUACAGAAGGAAGAAGGAUUUGAAAAAAAGAAAGAAAGAAAGUUGAAUGUCCAGGAUUGUGACAUAUAACACCUUGAAAUUUAUUGUGUUACUUGAACUGAGACACAAAAAAUUACUAAUAGAAAAGCACUAACUAACAAGAAUACAUUUGUAUUUCACAUCUAUAUCUGCAAGCUGUGUGGAUUUUUUUGGUUUGGUAAGGAACAUUUUAUAAAAAAGUGUGUUGCAGUAUUACUUAACUGCAUUGUAGUGAUGGUAAUAACAGGCUUCAUUAAUUAAUUAAUUGUUUGUAUUGCUAUUCUGAACACAAUUUGUCUUUUGUACCAUCACCACUAUUUUCAGUUGGUGUUGAAAUGCAAGAUAUAAAUGUGUGAUAUAUUAGGAAACAACACAAAGACUCAAAAGUACCAUUGCUUUACAGUACUGCCACAAUUUACUAUACAAAUAAACAGUUUGGGAACAAAUUCCAUGCACAUGCUUAAUGGUGCAAGGGAUAGUGACAUAAUAUUUACCACAUGCAGUGCAGUGCUUUACACAAUUUGAGUUUUCAUUCACUUUCAGAUUGUUACAUUUGUACAAAGGUAGUAUGGUACUAAACUAAAUAACUUUGGGUUUAAUCAAGUAACACUGGAAGCACAUGAGAACCUGAUGUCAGUUAAACAUUCUUUGUGCAACAUCCAUAUGUUAUUUAUGUACAUGCAGAAGGUAUGCACAGUCUCUCUCAA